AUUGAACGCUGGCGGCAUGCCUUACACAUGCAAGUCGAACGGUAACGGGCCUUCGGGUGCUGACGAGUGGCGGACGGGUGCGUAAUACAGCGGAACGCGCCCGAUCGUGGGGGAUAACGGGGCGAAAGCUUUGCUAAUACCGCAUACGACCGCAGGAUGACAGCGGGGGAACGCAAGGCCUUGUCGGGACGGACCGGCCGAAGGCAGAUUAGGUAGUUGGAGGGAUAAAAGCGUACCAAGGCGACGAUCUGUAGCUGGUCUGAGAGGAUGAUCAGCCACACUGGGACUGAGACACGGCCCAGACUCCUACGGGAGGCAGCAGUGGGGAAUUUUGGACAAAGGGCGCAAGCCUGGUCCAGCCAUGCCGCGUGCAUGAUGAAGGCCUUCGGGUUGUAAACUGCUUUUGUACGGAACGAAAAGCCUUCUGUUAAUACAGGAGGGUCAUGACGGUACCGUAAGAAUAAGCACCGGCUAACUUCGUG
rnacentral:rRNA from 1 species